ensembl:lncRNA HCG18 HLA complex group 18
UUAGAGGAUCCUGUUUGGUAGUUAAAACCGUAUUAAAAUAGAGAGGGAAGAAAUUAAGCCUCCUUGAUGGUGAAGAGAUUGGGAACCACCACUCCAGUGUUAGAAAAUGUCAAAUGACAGAAGGUGGGCUAUAUUAAGUGGGAAUUUCCAAACCCCACCCCCUGGAAGGAAGGAAUGCUUGGUGACAAGCCUUAGAGGAGAGAGAUGCUUGUCUAGCCCAUUGCCUGUGUGCCCAGGAAGAGAUGUGCAUACCUUGAGAUAUAGAGAAGACUCUAGUGGGGAGAAGCCCCAGGCCAGCUUGUCAGCACAGGGCAUCGGAGGCCCCCAACCAGCUCCAAGUUCUGAACAGCACACAGCCUUCAAAGGCUUGUACUGCUGCUCAUACCCAGCAGAGGCCUUGCACCAGGCCUCCCCAUGCAAAUCAGUGUCCCCGCAGCGUAGGUAAAGGAGCUCUAGCUGUGCUCCCUAUGGGGGAACAGAUAUACCGUGGGACACUGAGAGACUGGAAGAUUGCCCAACAUUUAUUUACUGAUCUGUGUUCACCACAGAACCUAAGGUAUUUAUUGGUAUUGUUUCAACCAGUACGAGUGAUUCUUUCAUUUAGUGGUCAUCUCUGCACUCCACCACAGACUUUUGGGAAUUACAAGAUGAAAAGGGCCACAUCCUCACCCUGGCAUAGCUCAGAAAAUUUGGUUGGGGAAGUAGGGACAUAGACGUGAUCACUACACCAUAAUUUACUAAGCUGUGAGAACUGGAGGUGCAUCAGUGACCAGAGUGCAUUUGAGCCAGAGGUAGAAGGUACUGUAGACAAAAGGAACAACAUGCGCUCUAGGCUGUAUCAUUAGGUACAAUUUUCUGUCCUUGGGGGAGUCUUUUUAACCCUAAGACAAAAAUUAUGAAUAUAGAAAGAGGCCACGGUUCAUCUUUGCAAUUCUUUCAGGAGAAAAUUUGCUGCAACUCACUUUCUAAGUUUAAAAAAAAAAAGAGUAAAUGAUAUGAAUAUCACCUGAAAGAAUUUGAGGUCUCAAACUUGGGAGGAUCUUUGAACAACAAUCUUGGGGAAUGCCUAACAGUUCAUACUCAUUUCUUGAUAUCUACAGAUGGAAACUCUACAGCCUUACAUAUAUUUCUUUUUUCUUUUAACUACUUUAUACUCACAGAAAAUCAGUGUUCAGCACUUCUAAUAGCAGGUCUAGUGGAAGCUUGAGAUCAGAACAGAGUUCCAUAAAGGGAAACUGAGGGCACACAAGGCAGAGCAGUACCCCCUUAUCCAUGGGGACCUGUCUGACUGGAAGUAAGGGAGAAGAUUCUACUCCACAGAGAAUCAGGGAAGGUUAAAACUGUGUGUGUUUGUGACACUUUUGCUCUCUUGGGCCCAGAUACAGGCCGGAAAUCCUUUGGGUUCUGGUGACUCAAAGUGUGGCCAAAAGGACCAGCAGCUUUAGCUUCUCUGGGAGAACAUAUGAGUGCAGAAUUUCAGGCCUGCACCAAGUUUUUAAACGUCUGCAUUUUAACAAGCUGCUCUUAAUUUGCUUACGUAUUAAAAUUUCCAGAAGCACUGUUCUAGGACCAUCUUUAAGUGUUAUCCAAAAACAUGUAAGAUCUUUUUUCAAAGCAAAUUCUCAAGCUCUACCCUAGAGGGAUUGCUUCUGGUUCUCUGGGGUUGGUGCAGGAAUCUACAUUUUCGGCAAGUGCCUUAGAUCCUUGUGCACACUAGCAUUUGAGGAUUGCUGCCUUAGAUGGUGGGAAAUCUGAGCAGGGGAGGGCUGUGGGCUGAAAAUGAAAUGAUGAUGUUUAGGAACUGGCACAAGCAUGCUUCUGCUCCUGGUGGGAAGCAGUGGGACAGAUCCAGUUGAUUGUAGAGAAUGCAGACCUCGUGUCAUGCUCAAGUGUCACCUUAAUGUAAUGGCUGGAGACAGCCACAUAUGACCCUCUCAUUGUCCAGUCAGUAAGCUCAAUCAAUGACAGGAACCACUGACUCUGGUAAUUAAAAACUUAUUGUGGCCGGGCACAGUGGCUCACGCCUGAAAUCCCAGCACUUUGGGAGGCAAAGGUGGGCAGAUCACCUGAGGUCAGGAGUUCAAGACCAGCCUGGCCAACAUGGUGAAACCCCAUCUCUACUAAAAAUACAAAAUUAGCUGGGCGUGGUGGGGUUGCCUAUAAUUCCAGCUACUCAGGAGGCUAAGACAGGAGAAACACUUGAACCCAGGAGGUGGAGGUUGCAGUAAGCUGAGAUCGCAUCAUUGCACUCCAGCCUGGGCAACAAGAGUGAAACUGUCUAAAAAACAAACAACAACAACAACAACAAAAACACUUAUUGGUGGGCAGGUUCUCAUAAGAGGCCAUGGGAAAGCCAUGUCCUAUCUCAGGGACACAGGGUCAUCUGGGCCUCUGGCUAAUAGAGGCCAAAUAAUGGGACUAUUUUCCCUGUGAAAUCCUGAAAACCAAAAAUGGUGGCGUCUUUAUCUGCAUUAGCAGAGGUAAUUUGCUCCUUCUUGAAAUCCAAGGUCACGUCUACUGUCUGGGGAUUUUGAUCCAGGGUCAGUGUGGUUUCUCCUUUACAGGAGAGCCGAGUCUCAGAAAGGUGAGGUGGUUUGUGUUGGUCAUUGGCUACCUCAGAUUUUAGAGCAGCUCUACCUUGAUUGUGGGGUUGACCUAAUUUUUUUUGCUGUCUUCUUUCUUCUCCAGGUGAGGAAAGAGGACUUCCUGUAUAUCUCUAUCCUUUUGUUUCCAUUACUCACUUUCUGUGGCUGCUGCUGCAGAAGCCACUGCUGACUGAUGUGGAUACCUCAAUCUUUGGUUUACAAAAAGCCUAGGUGUCUUUUGGCCUCUCUCCAGGUUGAUAGCCAUGGCUCCUGAAAGAAAUAAAAGAUGAUCAUCUUUCUAAAAA